GGAUUGUAGUCUGCAACCCGACUACAUGAAGCUGGAAUCGCUAGUAAUCGCGGAUCAGAAUGCCGCGGUGAAUACGUUCCCGGGUCUUGUACACACCGCCCGUCACACCAUGGGAGUCGGAAAUGCCCGAAGUCUGUGACCUAACCGCAAGGGAGGAGCAGCCGAAGGCAGGUCGGAUGACUGGGGUGAAGUCGUAACAAGGUAUC
rnacentral:rRNA from 1 species